rnacentral:rRNA from 1 species
AUGGUUGUGACGGGUAACGGAGGAUAAGGGUUCGACUCCGGAGAAGGGGCCUGAGAAAUGGCCACUACGUCUAAGGAUGGCAGCAGGCGCGCAAAUUACCCACUCUCGGCAAGAGGAGGUAGUGACGAGAAAUAACGAGACCGUUCUCACAAGAGGCCGGUCAUCGGAAUGGGUACAAUCCAAACCCUUUAACGAGUAUCUAUGAGAGGGCAAGUCUGGUGCCAGCAGCCGCGGUAAUUCCAGCUCUCAAAAUGCAUAGAACCAUUGCUGCGGUUAAAAAGCUCGUAGUUGGAUUUGCGCCGGCGGGCAGGUCUCCCCUCACCGGGGUAGCACCUGUCUCCCCGCCGGCUGUUGACGGUGUAAGGUGGGAGGUGCACCUUCACGGGUCCCUCUCCACCGCUCCGUCGUUUUACUUUGAACAAAUCAGAGUGCUCAGCACAGGCGUCUCGCCUGAAUGUUCGUGCAUGGAAUAAUAGAAGAGGAUUUCGGUCCUGUCUUUUAUUGGUUUUGAGGACCGAGAUAAUGGUUAACAGAGACAAACGGGGGCAUUCGUAUUGCUGCGUGAGAGGUGAAAUUCUUGGACCGCAGCAAGACGGACAACAGCGAAAGCAUUUGCCAAGAAUGUCUUCAUUAAUCAAGAACGAAAGUCAGAGGUUCGAAGGCGAUCAGAUACCGCCCUAGUUCUGACCGUAAACGAUGCCAACUAGCGAUCCGCCGGCGGAUUUCAAACGCCCUGGUGGGGAGCUUCCCGGAAACGAUUGAGUCUUCCGGUUCCGGGGGAAGUAUGGUUGCAAAGCUGAAACUUAAAGGAAUUGACGGAAGGGCACCACCAGGAGUGGAGCCUGCGGCUUAAUUUGACUCAACACGGGAAAACUCACCCGGCCCGGACACCGCGAGGAUUGACAGAUUGAUAGCUCUUUCAUGAUUCGGUGGAUGGUGGUGCAUGGCCGUUCUUAGUUCGUGGAGUGAUUUGUCUGGUUUAUUCCGAUAACGAGCGAGACUCUAGCCUACUAACUAGUCCGCAUGUUCCUUGUGAGGCAUGCUCCCUUUGGGACUUCUUAGAGGGAUUUUCGGCGUUUCAGCCGCACGAAACUGAGCAAUAACAGGUCUGUGAUGCCCUUAGAUGUCCGGGGCUGCACGCGCGCUACACUGGCGAAAUCAGCGUGCCUGUCCUCUCGCGAAAGCGACUGGUAAACCGGUGAAAAUUCGCCGUGCUUGGGAUCGGAAAUUGCAAUUAUUUUCCGUGAACGAGGAAUUCCAAGUAAGUGCGAGUCAUCAACUCGCGUUGAUUACGU